UACGAAGGUGGCAAGCGUUGUUCGGAUUUACUGGGCGUAAAGGGCUCGUAGGCGGCCAACUAAGUCGGAUGUGAAAUCCCCAAGCUUAACUUGGGAACUGCAUCCGAUACUGGAUGGCUUGAAUCCGGGAGAGGGAUGCAGAAUUCCAGGUGUAGCGGUGAAAUGCGUAGAUAUCUGGAGGAAUACCGGUGGCGAAGGCGGCAUCCUGGACCGGCAUUGACGCUGAGGAGCGAAAGCUAGGGGAGCAAACGGG
rnacentral:rRNA from 1 species